GGACAUUCAAUCAUGACAGGAUCCAGGUGGAUGCUGUCCAUUGAGAAAAGAGUUUGUUCAGCGGUUUCUGGAUAGAAUUAAGUCCAAAGAUGGGAAAAAGUGCACAUCCAGACAAGGAGCAAGCAAAAAGACAAGGAACUUGGUGCAGAGAAAAGCUGUGGCCAUUAACCCCCAUGUGAACAGCUUCAUGCAGUCCCUGAUUGAGUUCGAAUGGACGACUUCAAAGUAAAGGCCACUGUGGUCUGUCUGCCACAGUUUAAUUUUUAAUUUAUUUUUAGUGUUCAAUGAAAUUCAAGUAGAAUAUUUAAAACUAUGGGCCAGUGUUCUUUUUACCACAGUGAAAUGUUACCUUUUAGUCGAUGAUGGACUUUAAACUGAAAACUUCAAACUAUGGACCAGUGUCCUAUUUGCCUGAGUUAAAUAUGUUACAGCAGGGGUCUCCAAACUUGUUUAUACUUAUUGAUUUUAUUUUAUUUAACUUGUUUAUAUGUUUAUUAUUGUUUAAAAUCUUGUUUUAAAUAUGUUUUGUUUCAAUUAAAUGUUUUUUUAAAUAAAAUUUUGAUACAUA